rnacentral:rRNA from 1 species
UACGAAGGGUGCAAGCGUUAAUCGGAAUUACUGGGCGUAAAGCGCGCGUAGGUGGUUCAGUAAGUUGGAAGUGAAAUCCCCGGGCUCAACCUGGGAACUGCUUUCAAAACUGCUGAGCUAGAGUACGGUAGAGGGUGGUGGAAUUUCCUGUGUAGCGGUGAAAUGCGUAGAUAUAGGAAGGAACACCAGUGGCGAAGGCGACCACCUGGACUGAUACUGACACUGAGGUGCGAAAGCGUGGGGAGCAAACGGG